AUUUGCUUAAUUGCACCACAUGUGUUUUUUAUUGAACAAAUUUCUUUGGUGGCGGGAGCAAUCCUACCGCCAGAGGUUAUAACUAAACCAAACUUUUUAUUUACAGUCAAACUUGAUUUAUUAUUACAAUAGUCAAAACUUUCAACAACGGAUCUCUUGGUUCUCGCAUCGAUGAAGAACGCAGCGAAAUGCGAUACGUAAUAUGAAUUGCAGAUAUUCGUGAAUCAUCGAAUCUUUGAACGCACAUUGCGCCCUUUGGUAUUCCAAAGGGCAUGCCUGUUUGAGCGUCAUUUCUCCCUCAAACCCCCGGGUUUGGUGUUGAGCAAUACGCUAGGUUUGUUUGAAAGAAUUUAACGUGGAAACUUAUUUUAAGCGACUUAGGUUUAUCCAAAACGCUUAUUUUGCUAGUGGCCACCACAAUUUAUUUCAUAACUUUGACCUCAAAUCAGGGAGGACUACCCGCUGAACUUAAGCAUAUCAAUAAGCGGAGGAAAA
rnacentral:rRNA from 1 species